rnacentral:sRNA from 1 species
AAAUGCUGGAGCUGGGAGCGGCGACAGGAAUGGAGGUAACGGGCCGCUGCGGCCUGGGAGGCUUACCCGGAAUUAAGGGCGAGGCGAGGAGAUCCGAAGGAAAAGGAAAGCUUCACCUCAAGUUACCCAUUUGCCUCUUCAGGCUGGGUUGCCAGAGCCCUUGGCCUGGGAGGACUCUUAAGCCUAUCGGACCUGCCAGCUGAUGGUGACCAGGUGAAAUAGAUAUCCUGAGCACACCUGUUUGAUAUUCCAAGGCUUCAUUUAGAAAGGGAGCAUGAGAAGCACUGAAAAGCAAGGCACUGUGAUCUACACAGAAACCAUAUAUUGGGCUCACAGCUACUGAAUGAGACCAACUGGUGGAGACAGUUUA